GAUUAGGGAUCGUCGCUGGCCUUUGGAAACGAAGGCAUGUGCACGUCUCGAAAUCUUCCUAGUCCUCGUUCUCUUUUCCUUUUCGUGAACCUCUUCAACACCUGUGCACCUCUUGUAGGUCCCCGCGAGGGGAUCUAUGUCUUCUUUCAUUCCAAUAUAUCAUGGCCAGAAUGUAAUCUAUAUGCGUCGAUCGGCGUGGCUAACGCUUCGUCGGCGACGUUUAAAUCGUAAUACAACUUUCAGCAACGGAUCUCUUGGCUCUCGCAUCGAUGAAGAACGCAGCGAAUUGCGAUAAGUAAUGUGAAUUGCAGAUUUUCAGUGAAUCAUCGAAUCUUUGAACGCACCUUGCGCUCCUUGGUAUUCCGAGGAGCAUGCCUGUUCGAGUGUCAUUUAAUUCUCAACCAUGCCUCGAUUGAUUUCGAGACCCCAUGGCUUGGAUUUUGGGGGCUGCCGGAGACCUUCUGGUCUCGGGCUCUCCUUAAAAGCAUUAGCAAAGGCGGGCGAGUCCCUGCAUGCACGGCCUUCGACGUGAUAAUGAUCGUCGUGGCUGGAGUGCGGAGGGCAUCGCACAUCGUCGGUGCUUCUAAAUCGUGACUUUCUCUUCGAAAGGAACUCUUUUGAAACUU
rnacentral:rRNA from 1 species